UAGGGAUUUUGAUUAGGCUCAGAUUGAACGCUGGCGGCAGGCCUAACACAUGCAAGUCGAGCGGUAGCACAGAGAGCUUGCUCUCGGGUGACGAGCGGCGGACGGGUGAGUAAUGUCUGGGAAACUGCCUGAUGGAGGGGGAUAACUACUGGAAACGGUAGCUAAUACCGCAUAAUGUCGCAAGACCAAAGUGGGGGACCUUCGGGCCUCAUGCCAUCAGAUGUGCCCAGAUGGGAUUAGCUAGUAGGUGGGGUAACGGCUCACCUAGGCGACGAUCCCUAGCUGGUCUGAGAGGAUGACCAGCCACACUGGAACUGAGACACGGUCCAGACUCCUACGGGAGGCAGCAGUGGGGAAUAUUGCACAAUGGGCGCAAGCCUGAUGCAGCCAUGCCGCGUGUGUGAAGAAGGCCUUCGGGUUGUAAAGCACUUUCAGCGGGGAGGAAGGCGAUAAGGUUAAUAACCUUGUCGAUUGACGUUACCCGCAGAAGAAGCACCGGCUAACUCCGUGCCAGCAGCCGCGGUAAUACGGAGGGUGCAAGCGUUAAUCGGAAUUACUGGGCGUAAAGCGCACGCAGGCGGUCUGUCAAGUCGGAUGUGAAAUCCCCGGGCUCAACCUGGGAACUGCAUUCGAAACUGGCAGGCUAGAGUCUUGUAGAGGGGGGUAGAAUUCCAGGUGUAGCGGUGAAAUGCGUAGAGAUCUGGAGGAAUACCGGUGGCGAAGGCGGCCCCCUGGACAAAGACUGACGCUCAGGUGCGAAAGCGUGGGGAGCAAACAGGAUUAGAUACCCUGGUAGUCCACGCCGUAAACGAUGUCGAUUUGGAGGUUGUGCCCUUGAGGCGUGGCUUCCGGAGCUAACGCGUAAAUCGACCGCCUGGAGACGCCCAUUGG
rnacentral:rRNA from 1 species